ensembl:lncRNA
GGCAGAAGUGCUGAGAAUUUUUACAUGACCUAAAAAAAGUUUACAGUGCUCAUCUUCUACAUGCAAUUUUUUAAGCCUACCAUCAGACUUAACCUUCAGCCAAAUAAUGUUUUGCAUAAAACCCUAUUUACUGCUGCAACUUGUUCAACUGCUUUUAUAACUUUUGCAACUGCUGGGCUUAAGUGUCAGAUGAAGUUAGUAAAGCCAUCAAUUGUUUCCCUCUCUGGCUUCUAGGAUGCAUUUAACCCAAAGUGGUAUACCAAGAGGUCCGAUAUUUUAAACCACUGUGUCUCUUUUAGGGAACUGAUGUACACAAACCUGAAAUACCACAGUAUUUUUGUUUGCACGUUCAACUAUUAACUCCAUACUCCUUCUUUUGUCUUCUUUUCCUCAUGAAUAAAAUGUGCUGCCUUAAGAAUAGGUGAGUGAUACAUCAUGAAGUUUUCAGCUUAUCGACAAGCUAGUCCCUGUAAAUCCUUAUAAAGAGGAUGGUAAAUGGGUAGGAAAGAUUGUUAAAUUUCUAUUUGCUCUCUGCUGAAACUUUCAAAGGUGGGGACAGUUUCUGUUAUUGAUCAUGUUAUCUAUAAUAUAUCCAUAGUCAUAUAUACUUCAGAGUAGAGCUUCUUAAGUGGUUCCAGAGGACAUCUGGCAGUGUUUAGAGAUGUUUUUAACUGUCACAAUUAGGGAGUUUUUGUGGCAUUUAGUGGAUAACAUUUAGAGAGUCUGCUAAAUAUCCUAUAGUGCACCAGAUAGCCUGCAAAACAAAGAAUUACUCAGCCCAGAUUAUCAAUAAAGCCAAGGUUGAGAAACCUAUUUUAUGGUGGUCGUAGGGGAUUAGAAAGAAAAUGCAUAAGACAUAAAUAUUUUGGAAAGGAGCUUCAGGAGUUCAGUGGUAGCUCAGUGAGUUAAGGAUCUGGUAUUGUCAUUGCAUCGGCCAGGGUCUCUGCUGUUGCACAGGUCAGUCUCUGGGCCAGGAACUUCCACAUGCCUCAGGCAUGGCCACAGAAAAGGAGAUGGAGGGAGGAAGGAAGAAGCUUCAGCAGCUCAUAAAUGAAGCCAGGUAUAUUUUGUCAAGUGACAAUGGUCUAAAAAAUACAUAUUUAUGGGUGUUAUAGCAGUAAUUACAUGGGAACAGUUUCAAAAGCAUUAUGCUGGAGUUCCCAUCAUGGCACAGCGGAAAUGAAUCCAACUGGGAACCAUGAGGUUGCGGGGAUUGAACCCACAACCCCAUGGUUUCCAGUUGGAUUCGUUAACCACUGAGUCAUGAUGGGAACUCCUGUUUUGGACUUCUUAUACUUCACUGUUACCAUUGUUACUAGAUAUCAAGAAUAUUUAGAUAAAUUAUUACAAGUUAAAAUAUAUUGAUGCUUAGAUCAAUGUCUUUCAUAUCUUACAUGGAUAAAUCAUUCAUAUAAUCUUGUUUAUUAAAAAAAUACGUUAUUUCAUGUUGGUUAGGUUUCGAUAAUAGUAGAUGAAAGUAGAUAAAAUCAGUGCCAAAGCAAAAGAUUGACAUACCAGAUGAAUCUGCACCCCCUUAAAAUUAAGAAUUACUGCCCUAGGAAGUAAAAGUUUUUGUCUUACAAUCCUCCUGGUCUUCCUUAUCAACAAGUAGGUUUCCAAAUAAACAUUCCAUCCUUUUUCCCUUAUUUAUUAAGACUUUGCCUAUCCUGUAUGAAUAUUUGAGGAUAACUUAUUAUCUUACCCUGAAAAAAUUUUAAUACUUUUUGUUUGUUUGUUUUUUCUUUUUGUCUUUUCUAGGGCCGCACCCGCGACAUAUGUAGGUUCCCAGACUAGGGGUCAAAUUGGAGCUAUAGCCACCAGCCUUCGCCAGAACCACAGCAAUGCCAGAUCUGAGCCGCAUCUGCGACCUACACCACAGCUCAUGGCAACGCCAGAUCCUUAACCCAUUGAGCGAGACCAGAGAUUGAACCCAUAACUUCAUGGUUCCUAGUUGAGUUCCUUAACAGCUGAGCCAUGACAGGAACGUCUAAUACUUAUUUUUUAAUAAUUCCAGAUAAACAGCAUCUGUUUUAGGAAAUUUGAUCAUAAAAAUCUGAUUCUCAAUAUUCAACACAGUAGCAUCUUAAUAUUAGUGAAAAGCAGAUUGAUCACUUACUAGCUUUGAAUAACAAAAAUUCUAUCUGUACAGUACUCAAGAAUUUUCCAUGUUUUUAAAAAAGUUAAACUCCAUUUUUUUAGAGCACUUUUACAUUCACAGCAAAACUGACCAGAAUAUGUUAAGUUCCCAUUUAUUCCCUGACCCCGCCUCCCACCUCAUAUGCACAACUUGCCCCAUCAUCAAUACCCCCCAGCAGUGUGUGCUACAUUUGUUACAGUCAGUCUGUUACCGUCUACAUGGACAUUAGCACCCUGAGCCUAUGGUGUCCCGCUUUAACAAGGGGAAAUUCUUUCAAACAUAGUAUAUAGAGUUGAAAUGUUUGAGUUCAUUUUAUUUUAUUUGUAUAAAGACUCAGUUUUCUCAUUGUUAAAACUGGCAUUAUAAUAGUUCCUAGAGUUGGUGAAGAUUUCAAAUGAUAUGUUGCGUAUACAGUGUAGCACAGUAAAGUAAAUGCUCAAAUGUUUACAAUGAUGAUUAUUGCUUAAAAGUACAUGCUUAUAUAUAUAUUAAAACAAAUUAAUUUUCAGUUCAUGUUCUUGUUUCUUUUUCUGUGUUCACUUAUUAUAAUCAAACCAGCAUAUGCAUUUUAAAUAAGUUAAAAAUUAUCAGAGUUCCCGUCAUGGCUCAGCGGAAACAAAUCUGACUAGUAUGCAUGAGGAUACAGGUUUGAUCCCCGGCCUUGCUAAGUGGAUUAAGGAUGCAGUGUUACUUUGAGCUGUGAUGUAGGUCACAGAUGUGGCAUUGCUGUUGCUGUGGCAUAGGCCAGCAGCUGCAGCUCCAAUUCAACACCUACCCUGGGAACUUCCAUAUGCCGAGGGUGUGGCCCUGAAAAGACAAAAAAAAAAAAAAA